CUCCAGCACAAGGAUCCUGAAAAUGUAGCAGGAUUAACUCGAAGUAAUCUUCCUCAACUUUUCCCCUUUUCUUUGCAAGGGGAGGGAGUGUGGGAUCAGGAUUUCAUGAAUGGGACUAGAACUCCAGGAGUGUAGAGAGUAGCCUGGCCUCUACUGUGAUCUUGGUCUUUUUCAGAAGACAACCUAUGAACUUUCUUCAGAAACUUCACAGGCUUCUUGAAUGAAGAAAGCCCAUCACUACCUUCAGCACACUUUUUGAAAGACUAGAUCAUGACGUCCUUGUGGCAGGGAAUCUCUUUUCUCCAUUUGUAUUUCAGCUGUUAAGAGAGCCCAUGGAUGCCACACAAAAGUGAUGAUGAAUAUUACAAGUCUACUAAAGUACUUUUUACAUUGUGAAGGAAAUGACAUUUGCCUGCUUCUAAUAAACCUUGAACCAUUUAUGGCAGUGUUAAAUAUGUUGCAUUCCACCUACAGGAGAACUGUGGCAGGAAGCAUCUCCAGCCCAGCAGAAGUCCUGGUAUUUCUCUCUUGAACUUUCUCUUCCCCUCAUGCCGACAGUGGGGUACAAUAAAACUGUUGCAAAACUGUGAAGUCACAAUAAACCAACCCAAACUACCAGAGCAAACAGAUUUCUAUUCCAGUGAGGCCAGGACUCUCUACAGCCCCAAGGAUGGGACUGACUGCAUUGAAUGGAGUAGGAAUUGGAUCCUGACUGCAGCUCUGAUGCAUACAAUCAUGUUCUUACAUUAAAUGUGCUGAAAGCAGUCACUUCUUGGUACUUCGAACAGUAGUGUUUCAAGGCUACACCAAAGUCCAAUGCCUUUAUUUCUUCUGGACUAGAGGAUAUUGUCAGAUGAUCAAGCACUCCUUAGAAUGUUAGCUGCAUUUGUCGACACAGAAAUCCUCAAGACUAGGAUAUCUGAAAUAUUUGUCAAGUCAGGGCAUGGGGGCUGGCAGUAUGCUUAAAAGUAGAGCAGAAAGCAGUGCCUUGCUGCAUCUUACCUAUGUGGAGGAGUGUGUCGAUUUAUCCAGAAAAAUUUCAGUAUGCAACUAUUUGGCUUUGUGCAAUGCAGAUUAUCCUGGAGAGGCAACAUCCAGACUGUUAUGCAUAACCUAGCAUGCUCAAGACCUUACUUGCCUACUUUACUUUGAGGUUAAGGUAAGCAUCAGAAUAGAUCAGAAGAUGUUCCUGAAUUCAAAAGUAUAUGGGACCUGAAAGGGAGCCAAUCCUGAUUCUUCUUGAAAGACAUGAGGACCUCUUUGAAAACCAUGGGAGCUUGAGUUGCAGACUUGUCUGGAAUGGUUUUGGAGUCCAUUCUUCACCACAACUGAAAUAAUCAGAAAGGACAGCAAAAUAGGUGAGCAGAGUUCACUGCCAUUGAACAGUUUUCUUUCCUACUGUUGGAACCAUGAACUGUCAGAGAAGACAGAGGGAGUGACAGAGAGAACUGACGCAGUGAGCAAGUCUUAGGACACAUGGCCUUCCUAUGUCACUGACACAGACUGCUGAGCAGAAGCACACCAAAAAGUAUUAAACAGGCAGUAGCUUACAUGCUGACCCAGAAGCUAGAAGAUAUGAGAGAAGGAUGUGAUGAUGGAAAUUUCAGGGGCUGUGGUUAAGAGGUGAAAGUGACUCAAGCUGAAUUAGGAUGUGCAGUAAGAGACUUGAAUACAGUAACCUCUUGAGAUCUCCAUCAUUGACUGCUGUCAGUAAAGAAUUUGUGGCCAGCAGAACUGGGAGAGCAUUUUGGAAGGUGCAUGAUGCUCCUGCCAGAUCUAUUCCCUCAAAAAUUGACCUCAGGGAGUAUCUGCCUUAGGUCUUGCAAGGUAGGUAUGACCAUCUGCGAAAAAGGUCUGUAACAAAAUUCAGUAGCUAUUAGUUGCAACAAAAAAGUAAAAUAACUUCCAUGCUUUCUGCCUCUGUCCAAAAUACACUUGAGAGUUUUGAAUGACGUUUUCUAUUCCACUUCCAGAUUCUUCUAGGAAGACCUCUGAACUGCUUGAUUAUAAUUGAUUUGUUCCUUAUACACCCUGUGGUAAAGGGUUUCUUGGCUAAACGAUCUCUAUGUUAAUAGGGAUCCCUGUUCCUCCAAUUUUAUCCCUGUUCCUCCAACUUUUUCCUUCUGCUGUCUGUUGCUAAUCAAAAAUCUUGAAUCCAUGUUGAUUUAGCUCUGCUUAUGAAAAAGAAAUGGAAUAUUUUGAAGGUAAAAUAAAAAAAAAAUGAGACAUGGCAAGUGGAAUCUCAGAUUAUUCAUAUCUUAAUCACCAAUACAACCUUGGCAAACAGAACUUCAGAAAAACAUAGAAAAUGGAUUCAGGCUAGAAUUUAACCUAGCUGCUGGUACAGGGUAAAUUGAAGCCAAUGAAAGACACGGAAAGAGAAAAAUUAUUACGACAAACUUUCUUCUUUGAGGAAUGAGAGAUGAACAAAUACUACAAAAAAUGUGUGGUCAAGGUUGACCAAGAAGUGAGGUACUUACUUUGAGGGAAAAAAGUACAUCAGCAGAAUUCCUACAGAACUCUUUACUAAAAUUGCUGUGAUGUCAACACCACCCACCUUCCCCUGGGAGAUUUCCACUCCACAGAAUGGGCUGGAAGGUCCUUUUAUAUGUGUCCUUGCACUAUUUACAAUGAAUCUGGUUUCUGUUGUAUAAAGACCACAAUAUUUAUUUCAAAAAUGAACCAGCCUUUGAGGUAGUUAUGGGAGCAAUUCUGCAAAACUACUUCAGAGGAGAUACAUUGAUGCUCUUGGAAAGAUCCUUUCUGGAGGUUUUGGAAAUAUGGUCAGUGUUUCUAUGAACAUAAGCAAUUAAUUCAUUGAAAGCAGUGGCUAAACAUCUUUAUUUUUGUGGAAUUUGACAUAAGAUUUUUGUGGGAUUCAUAGCUGGUCUAAAUCCCACUGCAUGCAAAUGGAUUUCUUUUGCAUAUGAUUUGCAAAUAGCAUAACUGCUAUGUGCAGACAUGCUUAAAAAUUCACUACUACUAACAUUCCUUCUAGAAAGUAAAAAUCCCAAACAAUUUCAACCACAGUUGUCUCAUCAGCGUUAGUUUAAAAUUCAGAACUUUGUACAGACAGCAGAAAAACUCUUUCUAGGCAUAUUUUUGCAGACAUAAAUUUACAACUUCUCUAACAAUUCAAAGGCUUUCAUUAAUUUCAAAUAUUUUUUUAGAAAAUGUUCAUCAAAUUAUGUGGAACAAUAUUGGUGAAAAUUUGAAGACUUUCAAUCUGAUACAUAAGUAACAUUUAUUUUAAUCUUUCCUAUUGAAUUUUAAAGAAUUAGAAUUUUCAGAAAAUGCUUGCCAAGCUCUGAAUAUAUUUUGCAGUUAUUAAUUUGAUGAGUAAAUUUGCUUGUUUUAUUUGAGAAAAUAAAAAUACAAAACCUGGUCUUACUUUCACAGAACUCCUUCUAAUUUCUAAAAUUAUACUGUUCAUUGAUAUGCUUUUAAAGACAGUUACAGUAGUAAUAAAUAUAAUGAAACUUACCGGCAACCUUCUGUUAUGUCAGUAAAAAUACAUGUUCUUUGACCAAACCACCAGUCCCAUUAAUUUUUAACUUCAAAUGUCAAAUUAAGAGUGUAUUGUGAGCUGGGAAUAAUAUGUUUUUCAUGUAAAGAUUAUUUUUAUACCACAAUGUUUACUGCUUGAAUAAAAC